UACGUAGGCGGAAAAUUAAGUCAGUAGUGAAAUCCUGCAGCUUAACUGUAGAACUGUUAUUGAUACUGGUUUUCUUGAAUAUAGUUGAGGUAAGCGGAAUGUGUAAUGUAGCGGUGAAAUGCUUAGAUAUUACACAGAACACCGAUUGCGAAGGCAGCUUACUAAGCUAUGAUUGACGCUGAGGUACGAAAGCGUGGGGAGCAAACAGGAUUAGAUACCCUGGUAGUCC
rnacentral:rRNA from 1 species